rnacentral:lncRNA from 1 species
GGCCGAGGCCCGUCCUGCCCCGCGCGGCGGGAGUGGUUGGAGCCGGAGGGCGGAUCUGUGCCUGGCCGAGGGUGUCCGUCGGCGUCACUCACCGUCCUCGGCCCGCCUCUGCGUCCACUAGGAGCGGCCUGAAAGAGGCCCGCACGCGGGCUCGAGCCGCGUGGAAUGCACCUAGAGCUGCAUUCCAUGUAUUCCUUGGCUUUUCGUCCUUUCCUCCAUCAUCAAGUAACUGGAUCUGUGAGCAUGAUGAACUUUGUUUUCCUGAGCUUGUCCUGUGUCUCCUCUUCUGGCCACACCUGACUGAGCAGAACAUAAAAGCGACAGAACACCAGGAGGGCUGCUGCUUGGGGAAAUUGUGUGAGAAGAGUCCUGGGGGACUAGGGGCAGGGCAAGCACUGCUCUCCCUCUCCUGGAGGCUGGGGAGAGCAUCAAGGAGACUACCAGGUAGGAGGAACCAUGGGCAGGGCCUCCCUCAUCAGGAUGCUUUCCCCACAACAGAGGGAUUUAAGCCCCUGGUGGGUGAGUCCUGGAUUAACCAAGACCUGAGCCUUUUGGGGGGUGCAGAGGACAGAGGACACUGUGAGGUGAGUUUCUCCUGGGUGGAUUCCCCAGGGGCCUCUGAGGCUGGUUUCAGGCCCUGCCCUUUGGCUGCCCCACUGGAAGCUCUGAGCAUCUACCCUUCAGGGACGCUUUCCCUGGUCUGACCUUGGCAAGGGCAAAUAAGAGGUACUCCAUGGAGGGUCACCAAGGUCUGGGGCGUAAACGGUGCCCAUCUGCACAGUAGCAUGAG